rnacentral:rRNA from 1 species
CCUACGGGGGGCUGCAGUGGGGAAUAUUGGACAAUGGGGGGAACCCUGAUCCAGCCAUGCCGCGUGUGUGAAGAAGGCCCUCGGGUUGUAAAGCACUUUCAGUGAGGAAGAACGCCUGGUGGUUAAUACCCAUCAGGAAAGACAUCACUCACAGAAGAAGCACCGGCUAACUCCGUGCCAGCAGCCGCGGUAAUACGGAGGGUGCGAGCGUUAAUCGGAAUUACUGGGCGUAAAGCGCGCGUAGGUGGCUUGAUAAGCCGGUUGUGAAAGCCCCGGGCUCAACCUGGGAACGGCAUCCGGGGGUGUGAAGGUCGAGUGCGAGAGAGGAAGGAAUGCGUCCCGGGGGCGAGGUGACAUGAGGAGAGAUCGGGAGCACUGCGAGUGGCGAGGGCGGCAUGAAGGACGGACGCUGACACUGCGGUGCGUGCGCGGGGGUAGCAAACAGGAUGAGAGACCCGUGGAGGC